UACCAGCACCCCGAGUGGUCGGGACGAUUAUUGGGCCUAAAGCAUCCGUAGCCGGUCUUGCAAGUCUUCCGUUAAAUCCAGCUGCUUAACAGAUGGGCUGCGGAAGAUACUACAAGACUAGGAGGUGGGAGAGGCAAGCGGUACUCAGUGGGUAGGGGUAAAAUCCUCUGAUCCAUUGAAGACCACCAGUGGCGAAGGCGGCUUGCCAGAACGCGCUCGACGGUUAGGGAUGAAAGCUGGGGGAGCAAACCGG
rnacentral:rRNA from 1 species